CGCCGGGGUACGGGGGCUGGGCCGGGGGGCCGUAGCCGGGUCCCGGUCCGUAGGGGCCGGGCUGCGGCGGCCCGUACGGGCCCGGCUGCGGCGG
rnacentral:tRNA from 1 species